rnacentral:rRNA from 1 species
GUGGGGAAUUUUGGACAAUGGGCGCAAGCCUGAUCCAGCAAUGCCGCGUGUGUGAAGAAGGCCUUCGGGUUGUAAAGCACUUUUGGCAGGAAAGAAAUAGUGCGUGCUAAUACCAUGCGCGAAUGACGGUACCUGCAGAAUAAGCACCGGCUAACUACGUGCCAGCAGCCGCGGUAAGACGUAGGGUGCAAGCGUUAAUCGGAAUUACUGGGCGUAAAGCGUGCGCAGGCGGUUUUGUAAGACAGGUGUGAAAUCCCCGGGCUCAACCUGGGAACUGCACUUGUGACUGCAAGGCUAGAGUGUGUCAGAGGGAGGUGGAAUUCCGCGUGUAGCAGUGAAAUGCGUAGAGAUGCGGAGGAACACCGAUGGCGAAGGCAGCCUCCUGGGAUAACACUGACGCUCAGGCACGAAAGCGUGUGGAGCAAACAGGAUUAGAUACCCCGGUAGUCC